CCGUUGUACACACCGCCCGUCACACCAUGGGAGUGGGUUGCACCAGAAGUAGCUAGUCUAACCUUCGGGGGGACGGUUACCACGGUGUGAUUCAUGACUGGGGUG
rnacentral:rRNA from 1 species